rnacentral:rRNA from 1 species
AUGAACGCUGGCGGCGUGCUUAACACAUGCAAGUCGAACGGAAAGGCCCAAGCUUGCUUGGGUACUCGAGUGGCGAACGGGUGAGUAACACGUGGGUGAUCUGCCCUGCACUUCGGGAUAAGCCUGGGAAACUGGGUCUAAUACCGGAUAGGACCACUUCUUGGAUGUUGUGGUGGAAAGUUUUUUCGGUGUGGGAUGAGCUCGCGGCCUAUCAGCUUGUUGGUGGGGUAAUGGCCUACCAAGGCGUCGACGGGUAGCCGGCCUGAGAGGGUGUACGGCCACAUUGGGACUGAGAUACGGCCCAGACUCCUACGGGAGACAGCAGUGGGGAAUAUUGCACAAUGGGCGCAAGCCUGAUGCAGCGACGCCGCGUGGGGGAUGACGGCCUUCGGGUUGUAAACUCCUUUCGCUAGGGACGUAGCGUUUUGUGACGGUACCUGGAGAAGAAGCACCGGCUAACUACGUG